rnacentral:pre_miRNA from 1 species
GAAGUACUCCCUCCGUCCCAAAAUUCUUAUCUUAGAUUUGUCUAGAUACGGAUGUACCUAAUACUAAAACGUGACUUGAUACAUCCGUAUUUAGACAAAUCUAAGACAAGAAUUUUGGGACGGAGGGAGUAUUGA